UUUCCGUAGGUGAACCUGCGGAAGGAUCAUUACAGUGUUCCCUGCCCUUCGGGGUAGGAUCGCCACCCUUGAUUAUUUAUGAGUGUUGCUUUGGCGGGCCUCGCGGCCUGGCCGCGCCCCGGCUUCGGCGGGGGAGCGCCCGCCAGAGGAUUCUACAAACCUGAUUAUUAGUGUCAUCUGAGUACUAUAUAAUAGUUAAAACUUUCAACAACGGAUCUCUUGGUUCUG
rnacentral:misc_RNA from 1 species